CUCCGUUUGUUUACCCAAGUCCCAGCCUAGAUGCCGCAGAUGGAUGUGCCCACUAAUCAGAUCCCCGCAGGCUGGUUCACUGAGCCGGCUUCCGAGCGGCCCAUGGGCUUGCCCAGGACCGGCUCUUCCAGUCGCCUCAACGCGCAGGCGCCGGAGUUCGUGCCGCGGGGCCCGCCACCACCGACGCCGGCGGUUGUGCUGCCGCCUCCGCCGCAGCGGAUUUGCUGCCAAGGAGCAACAGGCGCGGGAGCCGGAAGCGGAGAUGCUCCCGCCCGCCGCGGUGAAGACGGAGCUGGUGUAUCUGGGCAAUUUGGUCGGUUGGCACGGGGUAUGCAUCAAUAGGCACCGUCAUCGCAGUAGGACGCGUGCGUGAUCAAGCCUGGAUGGGACGGUUUUGACACAGCACGUCCUGUGUGCGAGGAUCUCGAACUGGGUCAGUUCGUGGUGAUGUUCUUCUAGGAUUCUUUCGUCAUUUCUUUUACUGCAUCGUUGAAACUGAUCCAGGGUAGUGCGGCGGUGUUGGGGGUUGCGGCGGGCCUCGCCCUCAUCGUCGGCUUCGUCCGCUGCGAUACCUGUGAAGUUAACAAUCUACGCUAUUAUCGAUAGCAAUCCAGCGCUGAAGUCAAGAAGUUACCUGGGCAAAAACAGUAUACCCGAUUCUAGGUGAGAAGCUCAAAGAAGGGGAAGACAUCUACAUCUAUCAGGGGUGACAAAUCCUUUUGCUAUGAAGAUGACCACAGGGUUCUUGUUUGCGAGUUCAUCCUCUAGAAUGUAUUGGGUUGUCGCCACGAAAAAACACACGAAUACAUAAAUUCAAAUAAUUUCUGGUGCUGUGGAGUAUUCAUAAUUGUGUGCUUUUGUUGAAUCCUUCAUGUACCAUAAUUCUUACUGCUUUCAAGCCCUUUUAGAAUAUGACUUUAGGAUGUAGAAAUUGGUGAAAGGAGACAAGAAAUUAUUCUCUAAACUACUAUUUUUUAUAGGCAAGGGAGGCUGGAAGCACCUUUUUUGCAUGGGAGCUGCAUGGAGAGAAAUUAUUGGCAGAAAACAAACUUAGACCAGAUUCUUGAAUGUGCCAAGGGAAUAAGCUUCGCUUGCUGCAAUUCAUGUGCUGCUUGGCGCCACAAAAGGAGUAGAGGUGUGAUUUGCUUGCUUUGCAGGGAGCGGGGUCAUAGUCUGAAGAACUGUCCUGACAAAAGCGAGGGAAAUUUGAAGAAAUUUUGCUAGAACUGUGGUGAAUCUGGACACUGUCUUUCCAAGUGCCCCAAGCUCAUUGAGAAUGGGUUACAAAUUUUGCAAGCUGCUUUAUCUGCAAUCAGCAAGGACAUUUGAGCAAGAACUGCCCUGAAAACAAACAUGACAUCCCAUCCAAAGCUCCAUCUUGGCGCCAACAGUGGUUCACAUAGGUUUGCUCUUGAGAAUUAAGUUGUUAAUGAAGCUACUUUCCGUUGCCCUGAUGAGCUAGGAUGGAAACCACAGAGGACACCUAUCAUAUCAUCAGAUGGAAGCAUCUUACACGCAAGACAGCAAGCUUUCUGGUAUGGAGCUGAAUGGUACUCUGGAUUAUCAAUUGUUAAGUCUACAGGCUCUGAAAACAAUGGACUUAAGCAACAACCACUUGCAUGAUUCAAUCCCUUACCAGUUGCCAUCAAACCUUACCUAUCUGAAUCUGGCAAAAAAUAACUUCUCUGGUAAUCUUCCAUACUCUAUAUCCAACUUGGUUUCACUUGAGUACCUCAAUCUCAGCCACAACUCGUUAUUUCAGAAAAUUGGUGAAUUUUCUUUCAGAAUUGUAUAUUGUGUAAGGCCUACUGUAUAUUUCAGAAAAUUGGAAGCCUCAAUUCACUUUCAGAACUAGACGUAUCUUUCAACAACCUCACGGGAAUCUUCCUUUCUCAAUGGGCGCUCUGUCGAAGCUUUCUACCCUAGGCAACCCUUUCCAGUAGGGUCGCGCCCCUCUGGUAAGAGGGUCGCUGUUAAGUUGCCUGAUUAAUCCAUUCUUUCACUGUGUCUGCAUGUUGCAGUAGAUGCCAGCAGAUCAUGAAGCGCCCAAAUGGUGCUGAGCUACAGUACUAUCAGAAGCUGAAUAGAUUGCUGCUGGAAUUAGAGCAAAGGAGUGGAGGAGUUUCUGAAGAGAGCAGACCUGCAAAAUAACCGUCGUCAUGUCAGUGACAUGGCCGCUCAACUUCUUCCUCUUACUGCAUUGUAUCUGAACUGCGUCGACCUACCAACUACAUCACUGCACCGACUGCUAUACUGCAUCAACCAACCGAACGGCUAUAUGAAACGACACAAUGUCAGCCGUCAGAUAUGAAUAUUAACUUCAUAAAAGUAAUUGUAACUUGUGUAGGCUGGUUAUAGCUUGUGAUUUCACAUUUCAUUUGUUAGCGGCCAAGAUUUAUUUCUGUUAGUUUAUGACCACCACUCAGGAAAGUUGAUUGAUUCUCCAUUCC